UCGGGACAUUGGUCUGAGUUACUGAGAAACGCAGGACCCACUCCCGGCCUAAGCGCCAGUUUUGUCUCCAACCACCUGCCUUUGAAGCCAGGAGGCCUGAAUUCCAGCAUCCUUCACCAAGCGAGGUGUGGGCGUGUGCGGUGGCCCACGACCCAGAACAACAGACGCAGAGAGAACUGUUUUCCUCCUCAAAGUCCAGCCUCCAGGCGCUUCCCAGCCUUCCUCCAGUUUGCAUGAAGGACAGAAGUGGAACGGCUUUGGUGGCGGCAAAGGCAAAAGCCGAAUUCUCUCCAUCCUCUCACCAAACGUCAGGUGUCUGCCCCAUUGCGCCUCUUAGCUGCCUAAAGAGGCCACACCAGCAUACAGAAAUUCCUGGGCCA